rnacentral:misc_RNA from 1 species
AAGUCGUAACAAGGUUUCCGUAGGUGAACCUGCGGAAGGAUCAUUAAUAAACCUAGUCGCUCGCGUCAGGGGCAACCCGCGCGCGAGCGUCAUACCUAGGUAACCCUUGAAUAAACUACCCUUGUUGCUUUGGCGGGCCGCCUUCCAAGGCCAGCGGCUUCGGCUGCUGCGCGCCCGCCGGAGGACCACAACUCUUGUUUUUAGUGAUGUCUGAGUACUAUAUAAUAGUUAAAACUUUCAACAACGGAUCUCUUGGUUCUG